rnacentral:rRNA from 1 species
UUAGUGGCGCACGGGUGCGUAACGCGUGGGAAUCUGCCCUUGGGUUCGGGAUAACAGUUGGAAACGACUGCUAAUACCGGAUGAUGGCUUCGGCCCAAAGAUUUAUCGCCCAGGGAUGAGCCCGCGUAGGAUUAGGUAGUUGGUGGGGUAAAGGCCCACCAAGCCGACGAUCCUUAGCUGGUCUGAGAGGAUGAUCAGCCACACUGGGACUGAGACACGGCCCAGACUCCUACGGGAGGCAGCAGUGGGGAAUAUUGGACAAUGGGCGAAAGCCUGAUCCAGCAAUGCCGCGUGAGUGAUGAAGGCCUUAGGGUUGUAAAGCUCUUUUACCCGGGAAGAUAGUGACUGUACCGGGAGAAUAAGCUCCGGCUAACUCCGUGCCAGCAGCCGCGGUAAUACGGAGGGAGCUAGCGUUGUUCGGAAUUACUGGGCGUAAAGCGCACGUAGGCGGCUUUGUAAGUAAGAGGUGAAAGCCUGGAGCUCAACUCCAGA